GACUGGGCCGAGUGCAGUGGUGUUUAUAACUAAUUGAUCACAACCAGUUAUAGACUUCUUGUUUCUUCUCUGCCCCCAUUGCUUCACUUGAUUAGCCUUAA
ensembl:Y_RNA Y_RNA Y RNA